rnacentral:rRNA from 1 species
ACGCUGGCGGCGUGCCUAAAAACAUGCAAGUCGAACGAGACCUUUGGUCUAGUGGCGAACGGCGGAGUAAUACAUAAGCAACGUGCCCCGAAGACCGGGAUAGCCCCUCGAAAGAGGGAUUAAUACCGGAUGUGGCUGACAAGGGACAUCCCCUGUCAAUUAAAACGAGUAAUCGGCUUCGGGAGCGGCUUGUGGCCUAUUAGCUAGUUGGUGGGGUAACGGCCUACCAAGGCGACGAUCAGUAGCCGACCUGAGAGGGUGAUCGGCCACAUUGGAACUGAGACACAGUCCAAACUCCUACGGGAGGCAGCAGUGGGGAAUAUUGCACAAUGGGCGAAAGCCUGAUGCAGCAACGCCGCGUGAGGGAAGACGGCCUUCGGGUUGUAAACCUCUGUCCUCAGUGACGAAGAAAGUGACGGUAGCUGAGGAGGAAGCCACGGCUAACUACGUG